CAUAGGGUGGAUAUUGGCCCUCUAAAACAAAUCCAACGGCUGCGAUUCAUCUACAUCAACACGAGUUAAUAUUUAACUCUAGUAAAUUUGUAACUCCUGAAAGUAAAAUUUUAACUCCUGAAAUUUUACUCCCAGUAAAAUUUUAACUUCUGCGAGUUAAAAUUUAACUCGUGAUGACGUCGAUGAAUUUCACCCAUUGGUUUUGUUUUGGAGGGCCAAGAUUCACUCUAUG
rnacentral:pre_miRNA from 1 species